rnacentral:tRNA from 1 species
AGGUCGCGGCUGGAUUGAAAUACGCGGCUGACUCUUAAUCAGCGGGUCCAAGGUUCGAGUCCUUGACGGCCCACCA